GCUGUUUAGGCUGCGACUUAGAUUCCAUUUUUUUUAUUAAAAGAAGGCCUAAGUGGAUUUUUCAAUUGACAUUAAAAAAACAGAAGUCCAAGAAGUUUAAGUCUCGGUGUGAAGUCCGAAGUCCAAGUAAGUUCUGAGGUCGAGCCUGGCAAAAUUUAGGACUCGUUUCGUUGACAAAAAGUGGAGGAAGAAAAAGAUAUUUUCUGCGAAGUGGAGAGGAAGCUUUUUGUUUAAUUGAAUUUUUAAGAGGAGAGAGAG
rnacentral:lncRNA from 1 species